GAUGAACGCUGGCGGUGUGGAUAAGGCAUGCAAGUCGAACGAACCUUCGUAAAAUCGAUCCCUUCGGGGUGAAGUUUUACAUUCAGGUUAGUGGCGAACGGGGUAGUAACGCGUAGGGAACGUACCGAGAAGUCAGGAAUAGCCCAUCGAAAGGUGGAUUAAUACCUGAUAGACCCUCCGGGGUAAAGAUUUAUCGCUUCUUGAUCGGCCUGCGUAGUAUCAGCUUGUUGGUAGUGUAAUGGACUACCAAGGCUAUGACGCUUAGGGGAGGUGAGAGCCUGACCCCCACCAUUGGAACUGCGACACGGUCCAA
rnacentral:rRNA from 1 species